AAAUUGAAGAGUUUGAUCAUGGCUCAGAUUGAACGCUGGCGGCAGGCCUAACACAUGCAAGUCGAGCGGUAGCACAGAGAGCUUGCUCUCGGGUGACGAGCGGCGGACGGGUGAGUAAUGUCUGGGAAACUGCCUGAUGGAGGGGGAUAA
rnacentral:rRNA from 1 species